AUACGUAGGGUGCAAGCGUUAAUCGGAAUUACUGGGCGUAAAGCGUGCGCAGGCGGUUUUGUAAGACAGUGGUGAAAUCCCCGGGCUCAACCUGGGAACUGCCAUUGUGACUGCAAGGCUGGAGUGCGGCAGAGGGGGAUGGAAUUCCGCGUGUAGCAGUGAAAUGCGUAGAUAUGCGGGGGAACACCGAUGGCGAAGGCAAUCCCCUGGGCCUGCACUGACGCUCAUGCACGAAAGCGUGGGGAGCAAACAGGAUUAGAUACCCUGGUAGUCCACGCCCUAAACGAUGUCAACUGGUUGUUGGGGAUUUAUUUUCUCAGUAACGAAGCUAACGCGUGAAGUUGACCGCCUGGGGAGUACGGCCGCAAGGUUAAAACUCAAAUGAAUUGACGGGG
rnacentral:rRNA from 1 species